UCAAAAACAUGUCUUUUUGAUUAUAAUAUAAAGUCUAACCUGCCCAAUGAUAAUUAUUGAAUGGCCGCAGUAUAUUGACUGUGCAAAGGUAGCAUAAUCAUUUGUCUCUUAAUUAGAGGCUGGAAUGAAUGGUUGAAUGAAAUAUUAACUGUCUCAUUUUUAAAAUUAUAAAAAUUUAGCUUUUAAGUUAAAAGGCUUAAAUAAAUUUAAAGGACGAGAAGACCCUAUAGAUCUUUAUAAUUAUAUUAAUUUUAUUAAAUAGAAAAAUAUAAAUUCAAAUUAAUUUAAUUAUUUUAUUGGGGUGAUAGGAAAAUUAAAUAAACUUUUUUUUAAAAAAAAACAUUGAUUUAUGAAAAAUUGAUCCAAUUUUAUUGAUUAUAAGAUUAAGUUACCUUAGGGAUAACAGCGUAAUUUUUUUAAAGAGUUCAUAUCGAUAAAAAAGAUUGCGACCUCGAUGUUGAAUUAAAGGUUAUUUCUAGAUGCAGAAGUUUAGAAUUUAGGUCUGUUCGACCUUUAAAUCUUUACAUGAUCUGA
rnacentral:rRNA from 1 species